UACGUAGGGUCCGAGCGUUGUCCGGAAUUACUGGGCGUAAAGAGCUCGUAGGUGGUUUGUCGCGUUGUUCGUGAAAACUCACAGCUUAACUGUGGGCGUGCGGGCGAUACGGGCAGACUUGAGUACUGCAGGGGAGACUGGAAUUCCUGGUGUAGCGGUGGAAUGCGCAGAUAGUCAGGAGGAACACCGGUGGCGAAGGCGGGUCUCUGGGGCAGUAACUGACGCUGGAGGAGCGAAAGCCGUGGGGAGCGAACAGG
rnacentral:rRNA from 1 species